AUUGAACGCUGGCGGCAGGCCUAACACAUGCAAGUCGAACGAGUGGCGGACGGGUGAGUAAUGUAUGGGAAUCUGCCUGGUAGAGGGGGAUAACUACUGGAAACGGUAGCUAAUACCGCAUACUAUCAGAUGCGCCCAGAUGGGAUUGGCUGGUGGGUGGGGUAACGGCUCACCAAGGCGACGAUCCCUAGCUGGUCUGAGAGGAUGACCAGCCACACUGGAACUGAGACACGGUCCAGACUCCUACGGGAGGCAGCAGUGGGGAAUAUUGCACAAUGGGCGCAAGCCUGAUGCAGCCAUGCCGCGUGUAUGAAGAAGGCCUUCGGGUUGUAAAGUACUUUCAGCGGGGAGGCGUUACCCGCAGAAGAAGCACCGGCUAACUCCGUGCCAGCAGCCGCGGUAAUUC
rnacentral:rRNA from 1 species